CAGACACGCCCUUAAACGAAACCUCAAGAUCUUCGCAAUUUAACAUCGCAAAGGCCUUUAGAUUACACUGACAAAGUUUGGUGUUGAUCUGAAUAAAUCUCUAGGAGGAGUUCGUUAAAGUACAACCCCUGAAAAUGGCAAAAACGACACAAAUUUUGCAGAGAAAAUUCAAAAUAACUGACUUCCUGUUGGGAUUCGAAUUUCGUACCAAGAGACUUUUUUGUAGGUAUUGGUGUGUUACAUGUGUGUACCGAUUUUUGUACAUGUACGUGAAACGUAGCUCGAGGCGCACUCCGUUGAAAAUGUAUAGGUGGCGCUAUCGAGGCAUUUUGCCACACCCGAUGGAAUAUUGGCCUUCAGAUUUGUUCAGGCCAGGACUCUUAUCGAACAUGUGAAGUUUGGGCAAGAUCGGACAUUUUAUGCCUGAGUUACAAUAACUUUUAUUCCCAUGGCGAGACAUCGAACUUUGUGACGGCGCCAUGGACACGCCCUUUAACGAAAACUCAAGAUCUUCACAAUUUAACAUCGCACAGGCCUUUAGAAUAGAGUGACUGAAAAAAAAACAUUUAUGUCAUAAAAUUUCUCGGGGUAGUUUGUUACAGUGUAAAAUAUGUCACUUCCUGUUGCCAGUAGGUGGCGCUAUGACUAUAACUGAAUAUGGGCAUAUCAAUCUGUUCAGGUCAGGAGUCUUAACAAACAUGUGAAGUUUGGGGCAGAUUGGACAUUGUAUGUCUGAGUUAUAGCAACUUCAUUUUUCAUGGCGAAUCAUCGAAAUUCGUC
ensembl:lncRNA